rnacentral:rRNA from 1 species
UGUGCAGGCGGGCUGGCGUGUCGAUGGUGAAAGCUCCCGGCUUAACCGGGAAAGUGCUGUCGAAACCACCAGUCUUGAGGGCGGAAGAGGAAACUGGAACUUCUGGUGUAGCGGUAAAAAUGCGUAGAUAUCAGAAGGAACGCCGAUAGCGAAGGCAGGUUUCUGGGACGUUCCUGACGCUGAAACACGAAAGCUAGGGGAGCAAACAGGAUUAGAUACCCUGGUAGUCCUAGCUGUAAACGAUGUACAUUAGGCGUGGGGAUUUUCCCCGUGCCGGAGCCAACGCGUUAAAUGUACCGCCUGGGGACUACGGCCGCAAGGUUGAA